rnacentral:RNase_P_RNA from 1 species
UGGUACAGCGGUGCUAUCGACUGCUUCCGGCAACGGAGGCGGUAGGAAAGUCCGGACAGCACAGGGCAACGCACCACCUAACGGGUGGGGCCUCCGCGCAGGCGGGGGAACAGACAGUGCCACAGAAAAUAACCACCCGGGCGCAAGCCGGGGAAAGGGUGAAAAUGUGGGGUAAGAGCCCACGGUAAGGCCGGGUAACCGGCAUUACGGGUAAACCUUGCGUGCUGAAAUGCCAUGUAUACGGUCGUUCGAGGGCUGCCCGCCCGAGACCGAGGGUAGGCAGAUACAGGCGCUCAGUGAUGGGCGCCGCAGAUAAAUGAUAGCGGUUCGUUGCAAAACGUUCACAGAAUCCGGCUUACAGGCUGUACCAGGUG